rnacentral:rRNA from 1 species
UACGUAGGGGGCUAGCGUUGUCCGGAAUCAUUGGGCGUAAAGCGCGUGUAGGCGGCUUGGUAAGUCUGCUCUGAAAGCCCGGGGCUCAACCCCGGGAGGCGGGUGGAUACUGCCGAGCUCGAGUCCGGAAGAGGCGAGUGGAAUUCCUGGUGUAGCGGUGAAAUGCGCAGAUAUCAGGAGGAACACCGGUGGCGAAGGCGGGUCUCUGGGCAACAACUGACGCUGAGGAGCGAAAGCGUGGGGAGCGAACAGG